CCUACGGGAGGCAGCAGUGAGGAAUAUUGGACAAUGGAGGCAACUCUGAUCCAGCCAUGCCGCGUGCAGGAAGACUGCCCUAUGGGUUGUAAACUGCUUUUAUACAGGAAGAAACACCUCUACGUGUAGAGGCUUGACGGUACUGUAAGAAUAAGGAUCGGCUAACUCCGUGCCAGCAGCCGCGGUAAUACGGAGGAUCCAAGCGUUAUCCGGAAUCAUUGGGUUUAAAGGGUCCGUAGGCGGGCAAUUAAGUCAGGGGUGAAAGUUUGCAGCUCAACUGUAAAAUUGCCUUUGAUACUGGUUAUCUUGAGUUGUAUUGAAGUAGGCGGAAUAUGUAGUGUAGCGGUGAAAUGCAUAGAUAUUACAUAGAACACCAAUUGCGAAGGCAGCUUACUAAGUACUAACUGACGCUGAUGGACGAAAGCGUGGGUAGCGAACAGGAUUAGAUACCCUGGUAGUCCACGCCGUAAACGAUGGAUACUGGCUGUUCGGGGCCUUGAGCUCUGAGCGGCUAAGCGAAAGUGAUAAGUAUCCCACCUGGGGAGUACGUUCGCAAGAAUGAAACUCAAAGGAAUUGACGGA
rnacentral:rRNA from 1 species